rnacentral:rRNA from 1 species
UACGGAAGGCAGCAGUGGGGAAUAUUGCACAAUGGGCGCAAGCCUGAUGCAGCCAUGCCGCGUGUAUGAAGAAGGGCCUUCGGGUUGUAAAGUACUUUCAGUCGUGAGGAAGGUGUUAAGGUUAAUAACCUUAGCAAUUGACGUUAGCGACAGAAGAAGCACCGGCUAACUCCGUGCCAGCAGCCGCGGUAAUACGGAGGGUGCGAGCGUUAAUCGGAAUUACUGGGCGUAAAGGGCACGCAGGCGGUUAAUUAAGUUGGAUGUGAAAUCCCCGGGCUUAACCUGGGAAUGGCAUUCAAGACUGGUUAGCUAGAGUCUUGUAGAGGGGGUAGAAUUCCAUGUGUAGCGGUGAAAUGCGUAGAGAUGUGGAGGAAUACCGGUGGCGAAGGCGGCCCCUGGGACAAAGGACUGACGCUCGAUGUGCGAAAGCGUGGGGAGCAAACAGGGAUUAGAUACC